GGCAGCAGUGGGGAAUUUUGGACAAUGGGCGCAAGCCUGAUCCAGCAAUGCCGCGUGAGUGAAGAAGGCCUUCGGGUUGUAAAGCUCUUUUGUCAGGGAAGAAACGGGAGUGGUUAAUACCUGGGGCUAAUGACGGUACCUGAAGAAUAAGCACCGGCUAACUACGUGCCAGCAGCCGCGGUAAUACGUAGGGUGCAAGCGUUAAUCGGAAUUACUGGGCGUAAAGCGUGCGCAGGCGGUUUUGUAAGUCUGUCGUGAAAUCCCCGGGCUCAACCUGGGAAUGGCGAUGGAGACUGCAAGGCUAGAGUCUGGCAGAGGGGGGUAGAAUUCCACGUGUAGCAGUGAAAUGCGUAGAUAUGUGGAGGAACACCGAUGGCGAAGGCAGCCCCCUGGGUCAAGACUGACGCUCAUGCACGAAAGCGUGGGGAGCAAACAGGAUUAGAUACCCUGGUAGUCCACGCCCUAAACGAUGUCUACUAGUUGUCGGGUCUUAAUUGACUUGGUAACGCAGCUAACGCGUGAAGU
rnacentral:rRNA from 1 species